AGAGUUUGAUCAUGGCUCAGAAUCAACGCUGGCGGCGUGCCUAACACAUGCAAGUCGCACGAGAAAGGGUAGCAAUACCUGAGUACAGUGGCGCACGGGUGAGUAACACGUGAAUUAUCUACCUUCGAGUGGGGAAUAACUGGGAGAAAUCUCAGCUAAUACCGCAUAACACUUACGAGUCAAAGCAGCAAUGCGCUUGAAGAGGAGUUCGCGGCAGAUUAGUUAGUUGGCGGGGUAAUGGCCCACCAAGACGAUGAUCUGUAUCCGGCCUGAGAGGGCGCACGGACACACUGGAACUGAAACACGGUCCAGACUCCUACGGGAGGCAGCAGUGGGGAAUUUUGCGCAAUGGGGGAAACCCUGACGCAGCAACGCCGCGUGGAGGAUGAAAUCCCUUGGGAUGUAAACUCCUUUCGAUCGGGACGAUUAUGACGGUACCGGAAGAAGAAGCCCCGGCUAACUUCGUGCCAGCAGCCGCGGUAAUACGAGGGGGGCAAGCGUUGUUCGGAAUUAUUGGGCGUAAAGGGCGCGUAGGCGGUUUGACAAGUCUGAUGUGAAAUCUCUGGGCUCAACCCAGAGUCUGCAUUAGAAACUGUCGGGCUUGAGUAUGGGAGAGGUGAGUGGAAUUUCCGGUGUAGCGGUGAAAUGCGUAGAUAUCGGAAGGAACACCUGUGGCGAAAGCGGCUCACUGGACCAAAACUGACGCUGAGGCGCGGAAGCUAGGGGAGCAAACAGGAUUAGAUACCCUAGUAGUCC
rnacentral:rRNA from 1 species